rnacentral:misc_RNA from 1 species
CCUAAAGCUCUUGAGCUUAACGAUGGCAUCAACUGCUUCUUCUCCUAAACUCUGCAUCCCCAAAACCUUCAAUACCACACAGCAAACACCUCGUUUCAAAACCAACCUUCCCAUUACUAACCAAACAUCAAACACCCGCCGCUCUCUCUGCAUCACUACUGCCUCGCUUUCUGACCCCAAAACCAAGCCCACCACCACUGCCACUGCUGCUAACGCAACCAC